GUUUAUAAUUAUUUUCACAAGCAGUAAGUCUGCUAUGUGCUUGCUUUACUUUUGUUUAUUUAUUUUUUUAAGAAUUACCUGCCAGGUUGGUCCUCGAUACUUUUCAUGUGUAUGGUUCUUUCUCAUCUUAUAGCUUUGAUUCUGCUGAUGUUGCUUCUAAGUGACUUUCUUUCACUGUUCCAUGUUUGUCAUGUUCUUGGUCUUUCUCCCAGGGACCUGGCAAUUCAAGAGUCAA
rnacentral:misc_RNA from 1 species